AACGUAGGUACCGAGCGUUAUCCGGAUUUACUGGGCGUAAAGCGUGUUCAGGCGGCCUGGCAAGUCGGGCAUGAAAUCUCUCGGCUCAACCGGGAGAGGCUGUCCGAUACUGCUGGGCUUGAGGACGGUAGAGGGUGGUGGAAUUCCGCGUGUAGUGGUGAAAUGCGUAGAUAUGCGGAGGAACACCAGUGGCGAAGGCGGCCUUCUGGUCCAGUACUGACACUCAAGUGCGAAAGCGUGGGGAGCAAACAGG
rnacentral:rRNA from 1 species